GCCCCGGUAGCUCAGUUGGCUAGAGCGUUCGGCUUUUACUCUGAUUUCACGAUCAGAAAAAAUGCUGAUACCGAAAUGUCGUGGGUUCGAGCCCCACUCGGGGCG